rnacentral:rRNA from 1 species
GGACGGGUGAGUAACACGUAGGCAACCUGCCCUCAAGUUUGGGACAACUACCGGAAACGGUAGCUAAUACCGAAUAGUUGUUUUCUUCGCCUGAAGRRAACUGGAAAGACGGAGCAAUCUGUCACUUGGGGAUGGGCCUGCGGCGCAUUAGCUAGUUGGUGGGGUAACGGCUCACCAAGGCGACGAUGCGUAGCCGACCUGAGAGGGUGAUCGGCCWYACUGGGACUGAGACACGGCCCAGACUCMUACGGGAGGCAGCAGUAGGGAAUCUUCCGCAAUGGGCGAAAGCCUGACGGAGCAAUGCCGCGUGAGUGAUGAAGGUUUUCGGAUCGUAAAGCUCUGUUGCCAGGGAAGAACGCUUGGGAGAGUAACUGCUCUCAAGGUGACGGUACCUGAGAAGAAAGCCCCGGCUAACUACGUGCCAGCAGCCGCGGUAAUACG